rnacentral:rRNA from 1 species
CCUACGGGUGGCAGCAGUGAGGAAUAGUGGUCAAUGGACGGAAGUCUGAACCAGCCAUGCCGCGUGCAGGAAGAAGGCUCUAUGAGUUGUAAACUGCUUUUGUAAAAGGGUAAACCGGAAUACGUGUAAGCAGCUGAAAGUACUGUACGAAUAAGGGUAGGCUAACUCCGUGACAGCAGCCGCGGUAAUACGGAGGAGCCAAGCGUUAUCCGGAUUUAUUGGGUUUAAAGGGUGCGUAGUCGGAUUGAUAAGGGAGAGGUGAAAUGUCCGAGCUUAACUCGGGAACGGCCUCUAAUACUGUUGAUCUAGUGCGUAGCUGCGGUAGUCGGAAUGUAUGGUGUAGCGGUGAACUCCUUCGCGUUCCUACAGAACACCGAUUGCGAUGGCAGCUUACCAAUCUAUAUCUGACGUUGAGGCACGAAAGCGUGGUGAGCAAACAGGAUUAGAUACCCUGGUAGUC